rnacentral:lncRNA from 1 species
CAGUCUUCGAGCUGGAAGCUUUCCGGGGAGGGUCAGUAAUGGCCACUGAGCCCUCUGUUGGCUUAUUGGCUGAGCUCACUGAUGAGGAAACCUUGAGUUCGUCACUUUCUCUUCUCUAAUUGCUGAAGUGGCCGUCACUGAAGAUGACAGAGCGUUUCUGAAGGACACAUGGGAAUCAUUAACCAGCCCAAUAAAAUGAUCUAUUUAGGAGAAACAAGCCAAACAAUAUAGAGCCAAGGACAGAAAGAAGAACAGGACUAAGAGAAGGGGAAAAAGGCCAAAACAUUUUGCCCCUGUUCCGUUGCUGACUCACAGAGUGAAAAUGAGAUCCUUUGUUGUCCACAGGAAGAGAAAGUCAGCACUGAACCACAGGCCACUUAGAGUUCCAUCUUGAUGCUACAAGAGCUGCAGGAGGCUUUGAACUGACAUGGUGAAUGUGGAUGCAGGUAGAGUUCCUUGGACAGCCCAGGGAAGGACCUCCACCUUCGUUGCUCCCUUCUCCUGUCCCCCCACCUACCAAAACACAGGAACCCCAUCUUCAGACAGAAGGCAUGCUGCCUCAUGAAGGCUCACAGUUCCAGCCCUUAGAACCAUCCAGAGGUUAGACUCAGGGCACAACCAUCAGACGAAGUGGGAGGAAGAAACAUUAACUUCAACAGCUGUUUCUUGACCCCGGCUGUCAGUCUUCCCAAGAAUAAAUUUUGGAGAGUCCUAUUUGAAACAAAGAGGGAGUUUUGGGGGAGAGAAAAGUUGGUUGGUUCCAGGGCAGCCGCCCAAAGAAGCAGGGAACAAGAUGUUUGCAGUUACCACGCAGCCUGCAAGCCUCUGCCGGGUGCAGGCAAGGAGCAAAGUAACUUGAAAGCUCCCCUCUCGGCGCCCUGUGCCUGCAGCUUCCCCCCCUAACGCGCGCCCAGAUCCAGCGCCGGUGGUAAGAGCCGAAGCUCGACUACAGUAAUUCCCCAGCUCGGGCGGCUUGAAACUGCUCGGGCUGAAUAGCAUUUGCUGUUCCGUCCUGUGGCAGCCUCCCGCCGCCGCUGCCGCGCUCCCUGCAAAGCAGCUCUCAUUAUCCCGGAAGUUGUGCUGACACAGUCUCGCUGCCACCAGAAGUUUGUCAACAUCAAACUUCUCCUGUGUGGGGUACGUUCACCUUCCACGAGUAUUUAAUCGAGCCAACAAGCAAACAAACAAACCCAAAUAAACCUGCCCGUGAUGUCAUGGUCUUUUUUUUUCCCCCCUCUCUCUUUCCUGGAAAGGCUGGGGGCUUUUGGGAAUUUGCUGGUGGGCUCUGAGAGCGACUGUGGGUUUCUAGAGGCUGGGUUGGGGCGGGGGGCAGGGACCUGCUCGAGUGGGCAGUGAGAAAGGGGCUGCGGGGCACUUGGGGCUGGAGGCUGGAGGGCUUGCAGAGAGAACUGGGGCCGAGCGGCAGAUUGGUCCUGCAGCCUGUUGGCUUCCGCUUGUUUUUGAGGUUGCACCAGUUGGGCGAAGGUGGCUUUGCAUCCUAGCCCCGCCACAAAGGUUAUUUGAAAGCAGUGGCUAGGCAAAGUAGAAGAGUGCCUCCCCACCGCCUAUGCCCACUGUGCAUUUAAAACUCUUACAGGACGUUUAAACCUUUUUCGGAAUAAAGGGCGUUGAGGUCAUAAAAUGAAUUUUGAGACUUCACACUGCCACACAAGGGGAAUCCUGGGAUAUAACCAUUUCUGUCCUUAGUGGGUCUGUUCAGAUACCAAGAUGAACUCUCUAAACUUCAGACUCCGUGCCCUUUCAGCUCUCCUCUAUAGUUUAAGUUGCCAGGCACCUGGUUUGGGUGUUUGUGGUUUACAGUUGCUCCCCACUUAGAUGCUUGGUGCUACCCCCAAAGCUAGGGUGAGGAGUGGACAAGGCAGCUGGGAUGAACCCUUUCCCUUUCAUACAUACGUUUAGACAUUCCAUCCUGCUCAGUUUGGGUGGGCCUGAAAGAACUGAGAGGGAAUGGGCCUUCUUGAAGCUUGGGCACCACAGUUUUUCCAGCAAGGGGCUGAUGAAAGGAGUUGCUGAUCCUGACUUUGGAUUUAAUUUCUGGGGGCUAGAGCUACUGCAUUCAAAUCCAGGACCUUAGAUAAUGGGGGUGAUACCCCCCCAUUUCCAAGGUUAUACACGGGUAACCACAAGGGUCCAGUGUCUCAACAGUGGGCAGACCAAAGCCUGGCUCCUUGAAUUGGAGUCGUAUCCACAGAAGAGACAGCAGUAUUCUUCCCUAUCCUCAAAAAUAAAUUUGAGUGGAAAUAAACAUCUCCGAAGAGAAAUUAUCCAACUCUACCCUUGCUGGAACGGGGAGGAAGUUGAAUCCACUUAGAGAGCCAGGAGCUAAGUUUUUCUUCUUGCUGGUCUGCUGACUAUGUGUUUAGAAAAAUUAGCCUGUAGGCGUGGAUCUUCAAUAACAAGAAGACACUUUUCUUGUUUUUCAAACUAACCUAAACAAGGAAGUUGUACUAGCCUCCAGGGCUCAGUUUACCUCAGACAUGGACCAAACCAAGUAACGACCACGGAGGACAGAAUGCCAACCUAAGGACUCUGGGUAGCAGAGGCAUUUCUCAGGCCUGGAAUGUGCUUUUGGCAAAUACAUAGAUUUAACUCCAAUCAUAAGGCAGGAUGCCCUCACACAUAUGUAGUCCCACACAUAGAAGCCACACCCAAAGCACAAGGGAAAAUGUGUUUUGCUGAAUAUACAGUUGCCCUCUAGAGUGAAUUUUUCUCCUUUGGCCCUGCUUCAAAAAAUUUUCAAUUAUCCAGACUUCUUUUCUUAAGGUUAUAUUUUAAUCUUAUUUAUUUAUUUCUUCAUAGUCUACAAAUGUGACUCGACAUGUACCACAAUGAAAGCUGUGAAUCGAGGCGAGGUGGAGGACUCCAUCUAUGAUUCCAUAUGCAGGAAUAUUUCCUCCUGGUUGUUAAUCUGUCAUAGUGUAAAAAGCCUGAUUUAUAAAGGCUGAAGGGCUUUAGCAGAAUAAGGUAUGCAUGGUUCAUACAGUUGGGUUUAUUUACAAAUAAAACUAGUUGGCGUUUCUGUCUUC